CAGAGGGGCACAUGGCAAACAUGCCCGGCAGCCCUGGUACUGGUCUGCUACCUCUGCCACCAACUCCCUGUUCACCAGAUCAGUAAAAGUGAUUCGGACAAGGAAGCCACCUUGCCAGGAAUAAUGGGGAAGAAAGCUGCAAGGGAAAAGUUUUGCCUGCUAAUGAGCCUAUGCUGUCCAUCACCUAAUUAUCUCUGAAAAUCCUCAGCGACCCCCUUCCCUGGCUGCAGCCAUGGCGCCUGUCCCUGGGAGAUCUACAGGGGGACAGGACCAGCGAUGCCUGAGGAUGGUCCUUUUGCUCCUGUCCCAGUGCCUGGGAAGGCAGGUGGUCGCACCCAGGAGACAGAAUCCUGAGGGGGAAGGGAGCUGGCAGCCGAGAUCCCCAUCCCACCUGCAACUUCUGGGGGUGCCUUCACCCCACGCAGGAGAGCCUGAGCUCGUCUGAAGUGGGCUUCCCUCCCCUUCGCCACAAGCUCCUUCCUGGAUCAAGACAAAACCGCAGUUAUGAUAAAGUCUUGACAGCUGUCGGCCGAACAAGAGAACAGUAGGUUGGAAAUAACCACUGAAAUGUUUGCCCAGGGAAAGCAAGCCUCUGGGAUCAGAGAGCACGGACGAAUUUUGCUCCAACGCAAAGAGACGAGUCCAGAGUUCACUCUGCAUUCUCUGCUGCAUGCAAGGCCUCAUGCAACCUCUCCUCCCUGUCUGCCACCCCAGACCCAAGCAGUUCCCUCUUGCAAUGGUGGGAAAGCUACUGCCCCCCUCCCUGCCCCCAGCAAGGCUGGAUACUCAGCAGAUGACAGCUCAGCACCCAUUUGCAAGGCUGUCCCAGGGAUGCUGAGCAAAGCUCAGGCACCCGGAGAAAGGGGGGAUACCCCGCUCAUGGUAAAUCAAGGUCCUAUAAAUUUUGCAGGUGCAGGGGUUGAUAGAGGAGCCAAAAGUUACCAUUCCAGAGAGAAAGUUUAUUUUCACCUGCAAAACUUCUGUAUUCUGGACAGCUCCACCCCACCCCUUCCCCAGGAGAAAGAGCCCAAGCAGGGUCUCCCGCCAAAUAUAGACAAAGCAAGGAGGACACAGAUUGCAGAGUUUGAGGCUCGGUCACUUCUAGUUCUUUUCCCUGAAAACAUGGCCUAAUCAUUUUAUACCUCCAAUAAAGCUGAGGAAUGUUAUAGUUGCUACAUUGAGUACACAGUGGGGAGGGGAAGAAAGGGAACCUCACGACCAAAAAAAAAAAAAAAACCCAGGCAGGCAAAUAUAUCUCAAGCAGGAUUGGAGAUAAACACAGAGAACAAAUGACCAUGGAGAGAAGAAAGAAAGAGACAGAGGCUAUUUUG